rnacentral:tmRNA from 1 species
GGGGUCGACCGGAAUCGACAGGAAGUGUAAAUGAUAUACUUGCAUGUCAGGUGGAGAGUGUACACCUGUGAUCAAUUCGCUCGAACUAUACUUGGCGAAGAAUCUUACGCCAUGGCAGCCUAAUCACGACUCAGAUGUUGUGAUUAACCAGGGUUGAGGCCAAAGCCUCCCCCUGCCACAUCCCUCCAGGAUUCUGUCCUGUAAUCCGGACUCAGGGGUGUCGACCUUCAGGACUAGUGUGAGUGAGGCUACUAAGCUCAUGCGAAACUCCAGUGGCUGGCUAGUUAAGUAGGGUGUUGUUCUCCGGCUUGCUAGCGAGAUCAAAUGAUCAACUAAACAUGUAGAGGGUAUAUGAUUUCCUUUGCUGGACGAGGGUUCGAAUCCCUCCGACUCCACAU